UUCACUUUGCCAUUAGCAUCUUUCUGCUACUGCAGCAACUCUGACACCCACCCGACGUCCGGCGCGGCCUCUGCCUUCUCAAAAAUGUUCUCUUUACUCAGCCUCUCGAACAUCUUCGCCCUCAGAGCCCUCCCGGACUCCACCCUCUCCGCCGGCUCCACUUCCUCCAGCCACCUGGCAUCGCCACAUAUCAUCGUACUAGCCGUCGGAGUCGAUGGCAGGCUGCAGAAGCCAGCAUUAAAUCCUGCAAACGCGCUUGGCGAGGCAAACCCACCGCUACCCACCUGCAACCCCCAGGAGCUUGGCGCCGACUUGGCCCUGCUGAGCUGUAACUGCCUCAGCGACGCCACGAUCUCGUUCACCGACGAGCCAGCAUGCCAUGAACCCAGCUGCGCGCCGUUGGGUGAUAUCGGCGGCGACUCCGUCGGCGGGGAGUUGGGCGGCGAGAUCCGCACCGACGUUGGCGAGGAGACAAGAUUCUUGGGAAGAUAAGGCUGCAUGAACGACUGCUGGUGAAGAGGCAACCCGUCGUAGGAGUCGACGCCAGCGGCUGCUGCCGUCGGCGAGCUCUGCUGAUGGUGUGGAGGCACCACACGGAGCUGAUCGGGGGUAUGGG
rnacentral:lncRNA from 1 species